rnacentral:lncRNA from 1 species
GCAUCUGGUCUCAGACACUUAAUAUCUGGAUUACUCUGGAUAAAUGAAGGAAUAGUCACAACUGAAAUAGCAGUGAUGACUGUGAAACUUGAUUUCUACUAAAAAUAAUAGAAUUUGACAUGAAAGGCAGACAAAAACAGCCUUGGGCAUGUCCACAGGAAACUUAGAUCCUUCUAAUCAAGAGCAGUCAUUAUAUCUCCAGAGCAGAGCACCUAGAUCCCUGAGACACUCCACUGAAGACCUUCUGCUACAUUGACAGGGAACUAUGAGGCUGUCCAUUCAACCAUGAUUGAAUCAACAGAAGUGUAUUCUCAUCUGACACAUAUC